rnacentral:lncRNA from 1 species
AUUAAUUUAGUAAUGAGGUAAUGAAGUCGUGCAGUAAUGUAGUAAUAAGACGAUGCAUUAAUUUAGUAAUGAGGUAAUGAAGUCGUGCAGUAAUGUAGUAAUAAGACGAUGCAUUAAUUUAGUAAUGAGGUAAUGAAGUCGUGCAGUAAUGUAGUAAUAAGACGAUGCAUUAAUUUAGUAAUGAGGUAAUGAAGUCGUGCAGUAAUGUGUGGGUCAGAGGAUAAGCAGUGAUAAUCCUGUGUGAUUGUUGUAGUUCUACGGAGGACAGCUGUGCUGCGGUCAGUCGGACACUUCAAAGGCUUACGGCUGCAGAAACAUAACUACACAGAUACUGAGUGCAGUGUCCCAAAUGGCAGCCUAUUCCCUAUAUAGUGAACUACUUUUGACCAGGACCUUAUGGAGGGUGCCAUUUGGGACAAAGGAUGA